rnacentral:tRNA from 2 species
CCGCUCUUAGCUCAACAGCAGAGCGCUCGCCCGAUAAGCGAGUGACGAAGGUGCGAUUCCUUCAGAGCGGA